GUUUUGAAGGGAGGGUUCGGGCAGUUCUCCUGGGGGAGGCAGACAACAGAGGGCUGCUCCCGAGAUCCCAGGCCCCGCUGCUCCCCGUUCUCCCUUAUCCUGAGGGUCACCCCAUAGUCCCUGUCACCCAAUCCCAGAGCCCCGCCCCUCUCCUGAGGGUCCGCACCCGCAUUUCGAGACCCCACGGCCACAGCGACCCGGACCACCUUCUAACUCUCUCGUGAUGUGUGCAUUUUAGCUAUUAAAACCAUUUUAUUAAAUAAGAGUCUAAAUCCGGUCCGACUCUUAAUUCUAAGAUUCUGCGGUCCCCGCUCUCAGACUUCGUCAUCCUGGUCUGCAUGACUUUCUGAGAUUCUGAGUUUCGGUCCCCAGUUCCUGUGUUUGGAGGAGACCAGACUCUGUCUCCGCCGGGCCCGUGCCGGGUGGUCUGUCACCCCUCGUCCAUGACCAAGCCCUACGAGAGGUCGGCCUGCCUUCAGGUCCACCCGAGGAAACGAACGCCGGGGACCUGUUUAUCCGCAAAGCUAGUGUUGUGAAGAUUGCUCUAGGAAAAAGAAGGAUGCCGCUCUUCUUCCGCAAGCGGAAACCCAGUGAGGAGGCUCGGAAACGCCUGGAGUACCAGAUGUGUCUGGCAAAAGAAGCCGGGGCAGAUGACAUUCUUGACAUCUCUAAAUGUGAGCUCUCAGAGAUUCCAUUUGGGGCCUUUGCAACAUGCAAAGUUCUGCAGAAGAAGGUGUUGAUUGUCCACACGAAUCACCUCACUUCCCUGCUUCCUAAAUCCUGCAGCCUCCUGAGUCUCGCCACCAUCAAGGUUCUGGAUCUUCACGAUAAUCAGCUGACAGCCCUUCCUGAUGAUAUAGGGCAGCUGACAGCGCUCCAGGUCUUGAACGUGGAAAGGAAUCAACUGACGUAUCUCCCACGUUCCAUUGGGAACCUGAUCCAGCUCCAGACCCUCAAUGUGAAAGACAACAGGCUGAAGGAGCUUCCAGACACCUUGGGGGAGCUUCGGAGCCUACGUACUCUCGACAUCAGUGAAAACGAGAUUCAGAGGUUGCCACAGAUGCUGGCACAUGUUCGAACCCUGGAGACUCUGAGCCUCGACGCGUCGUCCAUGGUCUACCCCCCACAGGAGGUGUGCGGCGCUGGCACUAAGGCCAUUCAGCAGUUCCUCUGCAAAGAGUCAGGGCUGGAAUACUACCCCCCUUCUCAGUACCUGCUGCCAGUCCUGGAGCAAGAUGGAGCCGAGAACUCCCGGGACAGCCCUGACGGGCCCACGGACAGGUUCUCCAGGGAGGAGGUAGAGUGGCAGAACAGGUUCUCAGACUAUGAGAAGAGAAAGGAACAGAAGAUGCUGGAGAAACUCGAGUUCGAACGGCGGCUUGAACUCGGGCAGCGCGAGCACGCCCAGCUCCUUCAGCAGAGUAACAGCCAGAAGGACGAGAUCCUUCAGACGGUCAAAGAGGAGCAGUCCCGGCUGGAGCAGGGCCUGAGCGAGCGCCAGCGCUACCUGGAUGCAGAGCGUCAGCGGUUGCAGGAGCAGCUGAAGCAGACGGAGCAGAACAUCUCCAACCGGAUCCAGAAGCUCCUGCAGGAGAAUCAGAGGCAAAAGAAAAGUUCCGAGAUUCUAAAGUCACUGGAAAAUGAAAGAAUAAGAAUGGAACAGCUGAUGUCCAUAACCCAGGAGGAGACGGAGAACCUGCGGCGCCGUGAUAUUGCCUCUGCCAUGCAGCAGAUGCUGACCGAGAGCUGUAAGAGCCGGCUCAUCCAGAUGGCCUACGACUCUCAGAGGCAGAACUUAGUCCAGCAGGCCUGUUCCAGCAUGGCUGAAAUGGACGAGCGGUUCCAGCAGAUUCUGUCGUGGCAACAGAUGGAUCAGAACAAAGCCAUCAGCCAGAUCCUGCAGGAGAGCAUCAUGCAGAAGGCGGCCUUCGAGGCCCUGCAGGUGAAGAAGGACCUGAUGCACCGGCAGAUCCGCAAGCAGAUUAAGUUAAUAGAAACUGAGUUAUUGCAGCUGACACAGCUGGAGUUAAAGAGGAAAUCCCUGGACACAGAGGCACUACAGGAGAUGAUCUCGGAGCAGCGCUGGGCCCUGAGUUCCCUGCUCCAGCAGCUGCUCAAAGAGAAGACGCAGCGAGAGGAGGAGCUCCGGGAGAUCCUGACGGAGUUAGAAGCCAAAAGCGAAACCAAGCAGGAGAAUUACUGGCUGAUUCAGUAUCAGCGGCUCUUGAACCAGAAACCCUUGUCCUUGAAGCUGCAGGAAGAAGGCCUGGAGCGCCAGCUGGUGGCCCUCCUGGUGGAGCUGUCGGCCGAGCACCACCUGCCCAUCUUUGCCCACCACCGCAUCUCGCUGGACAUGCUGAGCCGGAUGAGCCCUGAGGACCUGGCCAGGGUGGGCGUCUCGGAAGCUGGGCUGCAGCACCAGAUCCUGCGCAGGGCCCAGGAGCUGCUGGAAGAGGCCAGGACCCAGCCAGAGCUGCUGAAACCACCCGCAGGCGAGGUCCUCCCCACAGCCCCUGAGGAGCCUCCGGAGACAGUGAGGCCAUCAGCUCCCCCUGCAGAGCUGGAGGUGCAGACCUCAGAAUGUGUCGUGUGCCUGGAACGGGAGGUAAGUCGGCAACAGGCCCAACCCCGAGCCUGCCUGCCCAGCAUCUAUGGCCGUCCUGAGCCUCUCAGGCAAGAGUUACAGGAAAUUAAAAUGACCCGUGAUCCCAUGACCCAAACGAGCAAUGCUAACGUCGUUUCCUGGGCCUUUUUUUUUUUUUUCCAAAAGAGUUUUUUUCUCCCACUUAGGAAAUUUCCCUUCAUGUAUUUACUAAGUCAUUAAAUAUCAACAACAGUUUUCUCCGAAGAGACUUUUUAAAAACCUGUUGUAAAAACUAUAACCAAAUUAACGCCUAUUAUAAAAAUUAAGCCGUGUAGCAUGGAAAUUAAAAACCCUCCCCUCCGUCGACGGUGUGAUCCUACUUAGAAAAGGCUGCCACGUUAGCAGCUUGAUUACCCCGUGGUCUUUGCCGGGCCCGGGGAACGUGAUGAUACAGAGGGCCUUGGUGGUUGUAAAUUCAACCACACCCCUGCUUUGGGCCCCAGAGGUGGCUUCCUAGUUCUUGUCAUCACAACCAGUGCUGUGCUGAACAGCCUUGAACAGAACUUGGCGCACAUCCUUGCUUAUUUCCGUAGGAUAACUUCCUAAAAAGAGGAAGUGCUGAAGCAAAGCACAGACACUUCCGUGGCUUUUGAGCCAUCAUGUUGGGGUCAUUUUGAGACCGAGGGGCUGGCAAAGUACAUGAAAAAACAAAACGUGGGAACAACCCGCACGUCUAACAGCGGGUCUGGUGAGGUAGGCCGUGGCCCCUCCUGCGUGGCUGUGACACAGCGGGGGCACGGAGAGUGUCCGAGAAGGGCCGUGGCACGUGUCCCUGUGCCGACUGGAACGUGACGACCGUGCCGUCCGAUCUUUAAGGCCCAGAUGAUCUUCCUCAACUGUGGCCACGUCUGCUGCUGCCAGCAGUGCUGCCAGCCCCUGCGCACGUGCCCGCUGUGCCGCCAGGACAUCGCCCAGUGCCUUCGCAUCUAC